UUUGACUGCAAAUAGUACGAAACUGUUCGUCAGAAUAAAGAUACCCAACAACAAAAGAGAAAAAAAAUACACAAAAGAAUAGCCACAUCGAACCUAUGUAGUCAUGUUUUAGAGUUUUUAUCGCAUAACCCGUUAUUUUUUUUACAACAGGGUUUAAAAAAGCCAAUAUACUAUAUUAUAUACCCUUUUUAUUAAAGCAAUAUUGUGGGUUUUAUUGAUGAAUAGCAAACAGUACAAAACAAUGGUCCCAACGCCAUUAUUUGGUCACAUACAAAACAAAACAAGAUAAAAUUUUCUGGUUGCCCAACUCGGUGACCCGAGUCCAAUACCCCUCUACACAUACCCUUUGUAGGGUUUCCAAAACCAUAGUCCACUUUCCUACACAAAACCCUCCCAUUUGAAGACUACGUUGCCGCCGCAUAUCAACACCAAGUUCAUCGCCAUUAUCUUUUGGAAUAUCAAUCUUUCUGGCUGAUUUCCUCCAUUUCUUGCUUUAUCAGCUUGCACGGCUGAGCUAUCCGGUGGAUGGUGUAUUUUCGCUGGAACACAAUAUUGGAUCUGGUCUCCUGUUAGCUUACUCAUUCAUCUGGUACGUUGUGAUACUGUACCCGACUACUCUAUGUUCCAUACCCGUCCUCUUCAAUGUGCAGGUGGAGCUGGAAUUAAGUGCAUGGGUAGCUUCAAUCCAUCACUCCAAAUGUUGGAAGUUCGAGCUCCAGGUUCUCAAAGCUUGAUCUGACCUAAGAUCCUCUCAUUUUGCUGGGUCCUUUUUGUUGGUUGAAGUAUAUAGGCUAGAUAGCAUUUCACUCUUUUUUAUGCAUGUGAGGCUUUUGUAAUUAUAAUUUGCAAAGAACACUAUGCUUAGCCUUCCCAGCCUCACAAUCCCUUGCUUGGUGAUACUUUUAAGUAAGGGCAUUGUAUCUAGUCACUAUUAAUAAGCCUUCUUUUC